ACAACCCAAUACAACCAAAAAAUAAAGCGAAAAAAUGAACUGAGAAGCAUGGCCCAACCUAGCUGAACUUAAGAGUUGCUCUAGAAGCAUCUCUGCAACUUUAACAGUAGCAUUAAUUAAGCAUUACUCCUGAUACACAUUCGAAAACAACAAAACAUAAUUUAUUAUCCUUUCAACGCACUGGAUGACUUCUACUUUCCCCUCUUCCCUCUCGCAUCCUUUGAUUCCUCUGAUUUUUAAGGGAACUCAUCCUAUUCCCAACAGAUGAAUAUCUUAGUCGAUCACGCUCCGCUGCCACUCAUGCAAAAAUAGGAACUCCCCGAUCCAAAUUCCAUUGUUCCUCCCUACGCAAACCUUCAGUUGCAAGCAAAUGAGCAAUCUCAUUUUUCGAUCGAUGCCCAAAUAGAAAAACACAAGUUUGAAAGCUAUUACUCAAAUCUUGAUAAUCGGAAAUGUAAGCUUGUAUCUCUGAUUUAUCUGCCCAUUUACUCUGUAUUUUUUUAAUAACAGAUCUCGCAUCACCUUUAACCUCCACUUCCCUAACUCCCAUCGUCGCAUCCAACUGGAGUCCUCAGACAUAGGCAGGAGCCUCGACUGCAAAAGCAGAAGGUAUAUUUUGAUUUAGAACAGAUCUGACUCCCAAUAUCUCUCCAUUAGAAUCCCUUACUACAAUCCCCGAGCAAGAAUUGUUAUUGGUUUUGUUGAAAGCCGCAUCAGAAUUGAUUGUGACAAACGGAGUUCAUGGUUGCCUCUAGAUCUCAUUUCCCUUCAUACUCACGGAUUCUGCACUGACCUAUGGUAUUGGAUGCAAAGUACCAGGUAACCCAAUCCAUGAAGCACAUUUCAUCCCCUAUCUCAGGCCAACAUACAUUUAAAUAUCUCUAUGUAUCCCUUGUAACAUGCCACUCCCAAAACACAUGUUCGCGAGUCUCCACUGGCGCUGCACACUUUGGACACACAACCUCGUUUAUUAGCCUUCUGUACUGUAGAUUACACAAAGUAGUGAUGUAGUUUUUACAGCAUUUCCAAGUUGUAAUCAUCAAUUUAGAGGGCAGAUUUAAGCCCCCAUAAUUUCUUGUAAAAAGACAUAUAUUUUGUUUGCUGCUGUAAAUGAUUAGGAUCGCCCGAUAACUGUAAAAGCAUUUUGUAAGCCCCACAAACAGAAUACUCACCAGAUGCCUCCCCUUUCCACACAAAAAAUCAUCCUGAGGAAUACGAGCCAAUGGAAUGCUUAAAAUAUGUUCUGCAUCAGUCAUACUGAAGAUUCUCUGAACGAGGCACCCAUGCAGCUCAAUAACUGGAAGUCUUUCCCCAUUCCCAACACUCCAGCACAUCCCAUCUUGGAGUAUCCCUUUGGCAGCCCAAAUACUCUUCAAAGUAUAAGAAGAAACCAUGGUUAUUUUAGCUGGGUUUUGAAUAUCAAUCUGCAAACUUUUCCCAUAUCUCGGAACUGCAACUACAUAAUCCAUACCAGGGGUUUCGUAUCAAGGGCUGAAGCAUUCAAACUCCAUUUGCAACAGAGAGGUACUAGCUGUUGGAUCGAAUUUGAAGGUUUUUUUUCAACAACAAAAUGAAAGCAUUGAAGAAGAUUAGACCUCAUAAUUGGCCUGGUUCAAGCCGGGAACGUAAUAUUUUAAACCCGUUUUUUUUGUCUGAGUAUAGCCCAAUCCAAAUAAAAAAAAAAUGUUAAACUCAA